AUGGUUGUUGGGGGCACUGCUGUUGUUGCUGUUGUGGAGGAUUCUGCUGUUGUAACGGUAGUUUGUAGUGCUGUCGUGGUAACUCCUGCAGUAGUAGUGGAUGAUUUAUCAAGAGUUGUAAUUGUUGUUGAGGGAACUGUUGUUGUUGUUGCUGUUGUGGAGGAUUCUGCUGUUGUAACAGUAGUUUGUGGUGCUGUUGUGGUAACUCCUGCAAUAGUGGUGGAUGAUUCAGCAAGAGCUGUAAUGGUUGUUGAGGGCACUGCUGUUGUUGUAGGUGUUGUGGAGGAUUCUGCUGUUGUAACACUAGUUUGUGGGGCUGUUGUGGUUAUUCCUGCAGUAGUGGUGGAUGAUUCAGCAGGAGUAGUGAUUGUUGAGGGCACUGCUGUUGUUGUAUCUGUUGUGGAGGGUUCUGCUGUUGUAACAGUAGUUUGUGUUGCUGUUGUGGUAAUUUCUGCAGUAUUGGUGGAUGAUUCUUCAAGAGUUGUAAUGGCUGUUGAGGGCACUGCUGUUGUUGUAGGUGUUGUGGAGGAUUCUGCUGUUGUAACAGUAGAUUGUGUGGCUGUUGUGGUUGUUCCUGCAGUAGUGGUGGGUGAUUCAGCAAGAGUUGUAGUGGUUGUUGAGGGCACUGCUGUUGUGGCAGCUGUUGUGGAGGAUUCUGCUGUUGCGUCAGUAGUGUGUGGUGCUGUGGUGGUCACUCCUGCAGUAGUAGUGGAUGAUUCUGCAAGAGAUGUAAUGGCUGUUGAGGGCACUGCUGUUGUUGUAGGUGUUGUGGAGGAUUCUGCUGUUGUAUCAGUAGUUUGUGGGGCUGUUGUGGUUGUUCCUGCAGUGGUGGUGGGUGAUUCAGCUAGAGUUGUAGUGGUUGUUGAGGGAACUGCUGUUGUGGUGGAUUCAGUUGUUGUAACAGUAGAUUGUGGUGCUGUCGUGGUAACUCCUGCAGUAGUAGUGGUUGAUUCAGCAAGAGUUGUAGUGGUUGUUGAAGGAACUGCUGUUGUUGUUGCUGUUGUGGAGGAUUCAACUGUUGUAACAGUAGUUUGUGGUGCUGUUUUGGUAACUUUUACAGUAGUAGUGUAUGUUUCUGCAAGAGUUGUAAUGGUUGUUGAGGGCACUGUUGUUGUUGUUGUAGAUGUUGUGGAGGAUUCUGCUGUUGUAUCAGUAGUUUGUGGGGCUGUUGUGGAAACUCCUGCAGUAGUGGUUCCAGCAGAAGUUGAUGUCUCUGUUGAAGGAUGUGUUGUGGAUGUUGUGGCGCUACUGAUAGUGGUGCUUUCAAUAGUGAUUGAAGGGGAAAUCAUAGAAGUUACUGCAGUAAAUGUUGUCUGUGGCGGUGUUGUGGAAAAUCCUGCAGUAGUGGUUCCAGCAGCAGUUGAUGUCACUGUUGAAGGAUGUGUUGUUGUAGCUGUUGGUGCUGUGGAUGUUGUGGCUGCACUGACAGUGGUGCUUUCAAUAGUGGUUGAAGAAGGAAUCACAACAGGUACUGCAGUAGUUGUCGUCUGUGGUGGUGUUGUGGAAACUCCUGCAGUAGUGGUUCCAGCAGCAGUUGAUGUCACUGUUGAAGGAUGUGUUGUUGUAGCUGUUGGUGCUGUGGAUGUUGUGGCUGCACUGACAGUGGUGCUUUCAAUAGUGGUUGAAGAAGGAAUCACAACAGGUACUGCAGUAGUUGUCGUCUGUAGUGCUGUUGUGGAAACUCCUGCAGUAGUGGUUCCAGCAGCAGUUGAUGUCACUGUUGAAGAAUGUUUUGUGGAUGCUGUGGCUGUGCUGACAGUGGUGCUUUCAAUAGUGAUUAAAGGGGGAAUCACAGAAGUUACUGCCGUAGUUGUCGUCUGUGGCGCUGUUGUGGACACUCCUGCAGUAGUAGUUCCAGCAGGAGUUGAUGUCACUGUUGAAGGAUGUGUUGUUGUAGCUGUUGGUGCUGUGGAUGUUGUGGCUGCACUGACAGUGGUGCUUUCAAUAGUGGUUGAAGAAGGAAUCACAACAGGUACUGCAGUAGUUGUCGUCUGUAGUGCUGUUGUGGAAACUCCUGCAGUAGUGGUUCCAGCAGCAGUUGAUGUCACUGUUGAAGGAUGUGUUGUUGUAGCUGUUGGUGCUGUGGAUGUUGUGGCUGCACUGACAGUGGUGCUUUCAAUAGUGGUUAAAGAAGGACUCACAACAGGUACUGCAGUAUUUGGCGUCUGUGGUGCUGUUGUUGAAACUCCUGCAGUAGUAGUUCCAGCAGCAGUUGAUGUCACUGUUAAAGAAUGUGUUCUUGUAGCUGUUGGUGCUGUGGAUGUAGUGGCUGCACUGACAGUGGUGCUUUCAAUAGUGGUUAAAGAAGCACUCACAACAGGUACUGCAGUAGUUGUCGUCUGUGGUGCUGUUGUGGAAAUUCCUGCAGUAGUAGUUCCAGAAGCAGUUGAUGUCACUGUUGAAGGAUGUUUUGUGGAUGUUGUGGCUGUACUGAUAGUGGUGCUUUCAAUAGUGAUUGAAGGGGAAAUCAUAGAAGUUACUGCAGUAGAUGUUGUCUGUGGCGGUGUUGUGGAAACUCCUGCAGUAGUAGUUCCGGCAGGAGUUGAUGCCACUGUUGAAGGAUGUGUUGUUGUAGCUGUUGGUGCUGUGGAUGUUGUGGCUGCACUGACAGUGGUGCUUUCAAUAGUGGUUAAAGAAGGACUCACAACAGGUACUGCAGUAGUUGUCGUCUGUGGUGCUGUUGUGGAAACUCCUGCAGUAGUGGUUCCAGCAGCAGUUGAUGUCACUGCUGAAGAAUGUGUUGUGGAUGUUGUGGCUCUACUGAUAGUGGUGCUUUCGAUAGUGAUUGAAGGGGAAAUCACAGAAGUUACUGCAGUAGUUGUCGUCUGUGGCGCUGUUGUGGAAACUCCUGCAGUAGUAGUUCCAGCAAGAGUUGAUGUCACUGUUGAAGGAUGUUUUGUUGUAUCUGUUGGUGUUAUAGAUGUUGUGGCUGUACUGAAAGUGGCGCUUUCGAUAGUGUUUGAAGAAGCACUCACAACAGGUACUACAGUAGUUGUCGUCUGUGGUGCUGUUGUGGAAAUUCCUGCAGUAGUAGUUCCAGAAGCAACUGAUGUCACUGUUAAAGGAUGUGUUGUUGUAGCUGUUUGUGGAUGUGUUAUUGUAGCUGUUGGUGUUGUGGAUGUUGUGGCUGUACUGACAGUGGUGCUUUCAGCAGGGGUUGAAGUGGGGAUCACAGAAGUUACUGCAGUAGAUGUUGUUUGUGAAGCUGUUGUGGAAAAUCCUGCAGUAGUACUUCCACCAAGAAUUGUGACUACUGUUGUUGUUGCUUUUGUUGUUGAUGUUUCUGCUACACUAGUAGGGAAUAUUUCAGUUGCAGUUGUUGUAAUUGUGGAAGUGUCUGUUGUUGUUGUUGAAGCUGUUUCGGCUACACUAGUGGUGGAUGUUUCAGCAGGAGUUUUUGUGAUUGUGGAAGUCUCUGUUGAUGUUUCUGUUGCACUAUUGGUUGAUGUUUCAGCAGGAAUUGUUGUGAUUGAGGAAGUCUCUGUUGUUGAAGAUAUUUCUGCUACACUAAUGGUGGAUGUUUCAGCAGGACUCAAGAUUGUGGAAGUCUCUUUUGUAGUAGAUGUUUCUGCUUCACUAGGGGUGGAUAUUUCAGGUGUAGUUGUGAUUGUUAAAGUCUCUAAUGUUGUAGAUGUUUCUGCUACAAUGAGAGUAGAGGUUUCAGCUGGAAUUGUUGUGAUUGUGGAGGUCUCUGUUGUUGUAGAUGUUUCUACUUCACUAGUGGUGGAUGUUUCAGGAGGUGUCGUUAUUGUGGAAGUUUCUUCUGAAGUAGAUGUUUCUGCUUCAGUAGUGGUUGAUGUUUCAGCAGGCGUAGUGAUUGUGGAAGUCUCUGUUGUUUUAGAUGUUUCUGCUACACUAAUGGUGGAUGUUUCAGCAGGACUCGUGAUUGAGGAAGUGUCUUUUGUAGUAGAUGUUUCUGUUUGACUAGUGGUGGAUAUUUCAGGUGUAGCUGUGAUUGUUGAAGUCUCUGUUGUUCUAGAUGUUUCUGCUAAAAUGAUAGUGGAUGUUUCAGCUGGAAUUGUUGUGAUUGUGGAACUCUCUGUUGUUGUAGAUGUUUCUGCUACACUGAUAAUAGAGGUUUCAGCAGGAAUUGUUGUGAUUGUGGAAGUAUCUGUUCUUGCAGAUGUUUCUACUUCACUAAUUGUGGAUGUUUCAAUGGCAGUUGUUGUGAGUGUGGAAGUCUCUGUUGUUGUAGAUGUUUCUGCUACACUGAUAGUAGAGGCUUCAGCAGGAAUUGUUGAGAUUGUGGAAGUAACUAUUGGUGUAGAUGUUCCUGCAGCACUAGUGGUGGAUAUUUCAGCAGGAAUUGUUGUGAUUUUGGAAGUCUCUGUUGUUGACGACGUAUCUGUAGCACUAGUGGUAAAUGUUUCAGCAGGAAUUGUUGUGAUUGUGGAAGUAUCUGUUCUUGUAUAUGUUUCUACUGGCCUAAUUGUGGAUGUUUUAACCACAGUUGUUGUGAGUGUGGAAGUCUCUGUUGUUGAAGAUAUUUCUGCUUCACUAGUGGUGGAUAUUUCAGCAGGUGUCGUUUUUGUGGAAGUCUCUUUUGUAGUAGAUGUUUCUGCUACACUGAUACUAGAGGUUUCCACAGCAAUUGUUGUAAUUGUGGAAGUCUCUGUUGUUGUAGAUGUUUCUGCUGCACUAGUGGUGGAUGUUUUAGCAGGAGUGGCUGUGAGUGUGGAUGUCUCUGUUGUUGUAGAUGUUUCUGCUAAACUAAAAGUGGAUGUUUCAACUGGAUUUGUUAUGAUUGUGGAAAUCUCUGUUGUUGUAGAUGUUUCUACUUCAAUAGUGUUGGAAGUUUCAGGAGGUGUCGGUAUUGUGGAAGUCUCUGUGCUUGUAGAUGUUUCUGAUGCAUUAGUGGUGGAUGAUUCGGCAGGAUUUGUUGUGAUUGUGGAAGUCUCUUUUGACGUAGAUGUUUCUGCUUCAG
ensembl:lncRNA